AAUCUCGCCAAGUGUCCCUUAAUAAACCAAACCCUUAAACAAUUCAACUCGGACCAUAUUAAGUUAAUUAAUCGAUUAAUCGGACAAAGAAAUUUAAUCUCUUUAACCAAUAUAACCAAAACCAAGAAAAUAAAAAACUCUUUAACCAAAAUCACAAUUUUUCAACGGAAAAAACCCUAAAAUAUUAAAAAACCUCUGUCCGAGUUCAUCAUCUUCACCAUUCAGCUUUGACGAAAUAUUCACGGAUAAAGCUUCGAAGCUCUUCCCAGAGCUUCCAGUCUGAAUGUUUCAUCUGUUAAAUUGUCUGAAAAUUCGGUAUCUGCUGGACGAAGCACACCACCUGUUCGAUCAAAUGCCUAAGAGGAAGAUGAAUCAAACUGUAAGGAAUCUGGAAAUAAUGUUGUUCAUUCAAGUAUGGAUUCUAUUACAAUUCAAGGUUUUGUUCGAGAAUUACCACCACAACAGGGAUUUGGAAUUCCAAUAGAAGACUCUUGCACCCUUUUGUCCAGAUGAAGAUUUAUAACCAGCCAUGUAUGCUCCCUCAGCUCGCAAGAGGGGCACUCAGUUUGGAUAGAACAGGUUUUCCAUCGGUCAGGCUUCUUAAAAGGACGCCGGGAUGAUGGUCACAUGCUUCAUGUUGCCUGUGACACGGAAAUGCGCUAGGGAGAUAUUUGUACUUUCACAGUUUCUUUGCUUGCAAUAAAAAGAUAUUUACUUAAAAAAAAAAAAGAAUUCCAAUAGAAGACAUCUGCAAUAGGCAAAAUACUAAGAACAUGACACAAUUAUUACAAGUAAGUGAAUAUUAUGCUUUUUGUAGAUAUUAUGUCAACCAUUAGUUGCAUGUUGUUUCUUAUCUAUCUCAAUUUUUUCCAAAUAUUAUAGUUUUGCAAGUUUACAGCUGUUUGUUUGUAUUUGUGGUCUUUUAUUUCUUAUUUUUCUGACAGACGUUGAACCCUAACUUCUACCAAGGCUAUGAUUUGAUGUCUUCAAGUUCAAUAGCACAACAGCAUGCAUCAAUAAGUUUAGUCCAAGCACAAGAACUUGAAAAUAAUGAUGAUUCUGAUCAACAAGUUGUUGAAAAUGGGAAAAUUGAAUGAAGAUGCUUAUGAAGAAAUGGAGGACAAGACUGUGGGAUUGCGCUCAUGGAUUAAUUAGACCUUUAAGUGGAAUAAUACUUUGUGCUUAUACUUAUUGAUUUUGAUAUUUUUGUUCAAAUAUCUGUUAAUAAACGUUCUUCUGACUAAACUGUAGAACAUGAGAUAUAUUAGUUGAGCUGCCCUGGAUUCUUGAUGCAUACAAGAAAUCGUCUUUUGAAUGUUC